rnacentral:rRNA from 1 species
UACGUAGGGAGCAAGCGUUAUCCGGAUUUAUUGGGUGUAAAGGGUGCGUAGACGGGAAGGCAAGUUGGUUGUGAAAUCCCUCGGCUUAACUGAGGAACUGCAACCAAAACUAUCUUUCUUGAGUGCUGGAGAGGAAAGUGGAACUCCAUGUGUAGCGGUGAAAUGCGUAGAUAUAUGGAAGAACACCAGUGGCGAAAGCGGCUCUCUGGUCUGUAACUGACGCUGAGGUUCGAAAGCGUGGGUAGCAAACAGG